AUCAAAAUCCCUAGCACAGCCACCGAUCCCCUUCGGGCCUGGCAUAUCUCCAUCUCUCUCUCCCGAUCCCCUUCUCCACCCACCGGCCGCCGCCGCGGCCAGGCCGGCGUGGCGGCGCGCCAUCCAUCCAGCCACCACUCCAUCAUCCACUCCCUCUCCACCACCCGCCGCUGCCAGCGCCGCAUCACCACCUCGAACCACCGCGCCAUCCAUCACCAUCUCCAGCACCGCCGCCGCACACCAUCCAUCACCAUAUCCAGCGCCACCACACCAUCCUCCACUCCUCCUACUGCUACCCUCUUCUUCCUCACCUCCGUUGUUGCUCCCCUGAACCCGAACUCCUUCUCCAUCUCCAAACUGCAUGCUUCGCCUCUGCUGAAGCUUUCUCUGAACCCCCCUGCUGCUUCUCUCUUCUCCAUGCCCCCGCUGCUGCUUCUUCUUUCUCUAACCACCUGCUGCUGAAUCUCUCUCCCUCUCCUAGCGCCUGCUGCUGUUUCUCUUCCCCCCUACGCCUCACUUGCUACUGCUCCUCCUCCUAAUCCUCUCAUGGUGCCUCAACCUGCUGCUUCUCCAAGCUCCGUUGCUGCUCCUCACUUGUGCCAGCUGCUCCUGUUCCCUACGCCUCUGCUACUGGUUCUUGCUUCUCUUCUGAACCUGAAGCUCUCUCUCUCUCUCUCUCUCUCUCUCUCUCUCUCUCUCUCUCAAACUGCUGUAAACUUUAGAAGUGUAAUGUUCAGAAUUUUGUAAUGUUCAGGGUUGUGUAAUGUUCAGACUUGACAAGUUGUAGCAACUUGUUAUUUGUUCAGUUUAGUACCUGUAUAAUAAAGUACUUGUUAUGUUGGAUCUGACUAGUUGAGGCCUUGUUAAUUUGGGAGAUAAUUGAUCUAUUAGAAUGUGCUUCUGUGUAUUACUAUUCUGCUAGCAUAUGAAUGUGUUCAUCCCUGUAUAUUUGUUCCUUAUUGCAGAAAUGUAUUCAGUCAUCCAUGUAUUAGCUCCAGUACAUGUGCU
rnacentral:rRNA from 1 species